rnacentral:rRNA from 1 species
GAUGAGGCCCUUCGGGGCCAUCAGCGGCAGACGGGUGAGUAACACGAGGAUGACCUGCCCUCAAGACCGGGAUAACGCGUGGAAACAGGCGCUAAUACCGGAUGGACUGCUGGGGUCGCAGCCGGCAGUAAAGCUACGGUGCUUGAGGAGGGGUCCGCGGCCCAUCAGCUAGUUGGUAGGGUAACGGCCUACCAAGGCGAAGACGGGUAGGGGGUGUGAGAGCACGGCCCCCCACAAUGGGACUGAGAGACGGCCCAUACUCCUACGGGAGGCAGCAGCAGGGAAUAUUGCACAAUGGACGGAAGUCUGAUGCAGCGACGCCGCGUGGAUGAUGAAAGCCUUCGGGUUGUAAAAUCCUUUUCGGGGGGAAGAGGCAGGACGGUACCCCCGGAAUAAGCGUCGGCUAACUACGUGCCAGCAGCCGCGGUAAUACGUAGGACGCGAGCGUUAUCCGGAUUUACUGGGCGUAAAGCGUCUGUAGGCGGUUAGGUAAGUUGGACGUGAAAGCUCCGGGCUUAACCCGGAGAGGCCGUUCAAUACUGCUUGACUGGAGGGCGUGAGAGGGGAGCGGAAUUCCCGGUGUAGCGGUAAAAUGCGCAGAUAUCGGGAGGAACACCAGUGGCGCAGGCGGCUCCCUGGUACGCACCUGACGCUGAGAGACGAAAGCUAGGGGAGCGAACAGGAUUAGAGACCCUGGUAGUCCUAGCCCUAAACGCUGGAUGCUAGGUGUGGGGCCGAAUAGGCUCUGUGCCGUAGCUAACGC